UUAUAAAUAUUAAUAUAAAAAACAUAAUGGAGCAUAAAAUAAAAAUAAAAUUAUAUUAAAAUGACGCAAAUAAGUGGAAACCUGGAGUCCAUGGAGAUAAACGAGAUAAAAAAAUAAUGUUUACGAAUAUGUGAAUAUAAAUUAAAAUCAUUUUGGCAACAUCGUUAAAUAUGGAAUGAAGUCUGUGCAAAAUUAAAGACAAGUUUAUACAAGUUUACACAAGGAAAAUAGCAGAAUAAAUAAAUGGAUGAUAAACAAAUAUCAGAUAAGUAGUUAAAAUUUAUACAUAUAUAUAUAUAUGUGUGUGUGUGUGUGUAUACAUAUAAUAAAAGAUUAAUUAUCUACAUAUUGUCUGUGACUGCGGAUAUUGUUGGACCGAUUUUUUCCUUUCAUUCAUUUUCUUGUUUCAGCUUCACAGCAAACCAUGUGCUUGCAGAAUGUUUAUAGUCAGAGAACAAUCUCCUGCAGGAUAAAAUUGCCAAAGUGUGAGCCUUGACGUACAUCAUUCAUGCAUCAUAGUUCUUUGCACCAGAAUCAAUUGUCACAUCUGGAAUAAAGUUUAUACAACAUGAAACAAGGAACACAUAAAGAAGUAAAUGGAUAAUAAAGGAACAUAUAUCAGAUAAGUAACUUAUGUUUACACAAAAAAAGUACUAAGUAUCUAUAUGCUGUGAAAAAUUGCACAUGUCGGGUUGAUUGUUGCUUUGUAAUGAAUUUUGUUAUUUUAGCCUUCUAAUUAACCAUGUGCUGGUCAAAAACACUUGAAAUUAUAUCUAACAUGGAAUAUAAGAGUAUAUAUGUUACCAGCACUGCAGCGACAGAUUGAUGUAACAAACCAAGAGCAGAAAUGGAAAACGUUUCUCAAACAUCGAGGAUCAAUCCUGUAGCAUUACUUUAGCAAGAUGAAAAAUCAUAUAUUGGAAAUGGAAAAUGCAACAGCCAUGACAAAUCAAGGAGUAACAAAUAUAUAAAUAUAUAAACACUAAGAAAUAUCAAAAGAAGAAUAGGAGAUUGUUCUCUGACUAUAAACGUUCUGCAAGCACAUAGUUUGCUGCGAAGCUGAAACAAGAAAAUGAAUUAAAGAAAAGAAUCGGUCCAACAAUAUCCGCAGUCACAGAC